CCCGACUUAAUUACUUCUGAGGUGGAGGAGGAAUGUAAAGCUGAUGGGGCUGAAUGCUGCUGGUGCUGCAGCUCUGUCUGUUCUUGGCCACAGGGAACUCUCCUUUGGGUCCCGUUCCAUUCAGCCUCCAUGGAGAAACAGUGUUCCCUAACGUCGUCCUUGGAGAUCAGAUUAAACACUGCUAAAAACCACACCAGAAAGCACGCUGCACAAGGUGACUUUGUAGGAACAACUUCAUAGAGGUCCACGUUCCUUUUAAAAGCCUUCCAAGCAUCACGUUUUCUAAAACUAAUGCCAAUGCAGCCAAAGGCCCUGUAUUGGCCAACCAUCUUAAUGCUGAAGCAAAGCUGAAGGAAGUCACAGAAGAGGAUCCUGGCUUACAGGACGGGGCUGUUUGAGGUAAGGGACACACUGGGUGGCCUGCGGAGGUGGAGGAGGUCAUGUUAACAGCCACUGAGUUCAUGACAGCUGCGGAGGAUCCUUCAUG
rnacentral:lncRNA from 1 species